UACGUAGGGGGCAAGCGUUGUCCGGAUUUAUUGGGCGUAAAGAGCGUGUAGGCGGCCGUACAGGUCAGCUGUGAAAGUCCAGGGCUCAACCCUGGGAUGCCGGUCGAUACUGCCGGACUAGAGUUCGGAAGAGGCGAGUGGAAUUCCCGGUGUAGCGGUGAAAUGCGCAGAUAUCGGGAGGAACACCAAUGGCGAAGGCAGCUCGCUGGGACGUUACUGACGCGUGAGACGGCGAAAGCGUGGGGAGCAAACAGG
rnacentral:rRNA from 1 species